UUUCCAUUCUAGCUUGUUUCCGUGGCUCCUAGCACAGUGCCUGAUAAAAACAUGAUCCAACAAACACCUUCUGAGCAUAUGGAACUCCAUGUUGCCACACUUCUGUGGAGGUCAUGGAAGAGCUGGACACGGAGUCUCACUUUGUUCUCAUGCCGAAGGUCUACCCACAGCCCGCAGGAUGCGGAAGGGCCACUGUAUUUUACUUCCCGGAAAUGACGAAUCAAUAGCUGCUGCUGCUAAUGGCCAGAUUCAGGGACUGCUCAAUUUCUCCAACUGUACAUGUGUAUUACAAUGGGAUAAAUGCAAACUUCCCCAAAUGUACACAUGCAUUAAAAUGGGAUAAAGAAACAAGCCAAGUUCGUACAUGUGUAGAUUUUGUAUUUAUGUCUUUUUCUGUUGCUGAAGUGGAAAACCACAGCUAAAUAUACAUGCAUGAUUUAUAUUGUGCACAGUGUAUAUUUUUCAUAUUCAGUUUCCUAAACAUGCUCCAAAUACUGAAUGUUUUCACUGGCAAACAUUGUGACGGACCCUUCCUAUUCCUGCCUGCUGCUGCGUUUCCUUAUUUGUCCUCUCCUGAACAUCUCAGCUCUGGUGGAGCCUCUGCUUCUGGCUUUUCCUAGCCAUCAGUCUCUGAGGUCCCCAGAGAGGACACCUCCUUUGUCUAAGGCAUGUAGAUCCCGCAGCAUUAGACAGAAACCUUUCCCUGAAGGAUGUUCUCAAUAAGACCAAGGGCCACAGUUUCAGCCAGGAUGGAGAAGCUCCUGGGCCACCAGUUGCUGGGCAAUGGCUGCUGGAAGGAACCAGAAACGCAAACAAAAGGUGGUAAAGCAGGCACUGUCACAGUGAGGCCCACACUCAACAGCAACAGCAAAUCCCGGCAGUGUGGCCCUAAAAGCUCAGAGCAGAACCACAUCCUUCUGCCCUCAGGUGGUCCUUUUAAAUGCUUAGAACCCCCAGUCACUUCAUCGCACAAAAUUACAGGAAGAAUAGAUCGCCGUACAGUGCCAUCCCUCCUAGGAGGGUUUAAGCUCCAAGUGAGUGAAGUCCUGAUUAAAUGUACGCUGUCAACAUGGGCAUAGCCAUGUCAAGGGUCCCAUAACCUCAGAGCCAUGGGCAAAUGGCAGUCUUCCCCACAGAGUGAGGCUCAGGGCAUCCCUAGAGGGAUGACAAAGUUUUCCUCUGGUCCAUGUGGGGAUGUUGACAGUAUGUGCAGAAAAUAUCAUUAUUAGCUUGUCCCUCCGUGUUUACGGUCUGAAGGCUGCUCCCCUACAGAGCCUGCUCCUGUACAAAUUAGCUAAACUUGUCUUCUUGAUCCAGCUGUGUACCAUAAGUCCCGCCUCCUUGUUUAUCUGUAAUCACCAGCUUCCUUGUUCAGUUGUGUGCAGAAACUCUGCCUCUCUGCUCAACUGUGUAUAAUAAACUCGCUAAGCUUCU